CUCAACUGGACUGCAGGCCUGCAGCCCCUAACCCUACUCACCCAUUUCCACUCCACUCUUUUGGAAGUAGGAAAGUGAAGUGAAAAUGCAGGUGGUACUUCAGGACAUGCAAGAGCAAAUGGGCAAACUGACUGCUCUUCUGAAGGAUGAGCGCAGGUCCCAUCAGCAUAGCUGCCGUGCGCUGCUGGAAGAGGCUGACAGGCGGGCAGAAAGGGUCAGGCAGAUGCAUCAGCUGGAGAUGAACCAGCUGGUCGAGGCACACAAAAAGGAGAUCAAAAAUAAUGUGGAGCUCCACUCCCAACACAUGGAAGAUGAAAGAAGCUAUGCAGCUGAACGCUAUGCCUUGCUGGAAAAAGACUAUGACUUCCUGAAAAGCUCCUUUCGUACCUACAAGGACAGCAUUGCUGAAGAAAUGCGCAGCAGUUGGCUGAAAAAGGAGAACAUCUGGAGAGAAGAGCAGGAGAGGGAUCUCCUGGAGCAAAUGAUGAGUUGUGAUAAAGAAACAACUGAGCCAGUGUGAGAUGGAAAAGGAAGAACAACGAAAGGCCUUUGAGGCUGACAUCGCAGAACUACAUUCUCAUUACAGCACUGAAAUCAAGGCACUUGAAAAGGAGCUGUCAGAAAAAGAAGUAUCUGUCACCUUGCUGAACACUGCUCUCAUGCAAACCCAGUAUCAGCUGGAAUUAAUGAACCAUAACUCCUCAGGUGUGGUAGCUAGGAAGGGGCUCAGCCGCAGGCGAACAACCAUUCUGGAGCUGGCCCAGUCCAACGCAACACUAGAGUGACUGAGAGACCCUCUGCGCUAUCGGCACCCAUGCAUAUGGGCUUGUUCUGAUAGAGUGCAUGGACAAGUCAUUACAAUGUCCUUAAGUCCUGCAGAGGUUGAAAAAUACUUUGAUUCUGUUGAAUCUUAUCGU